UACGUAGGGUGCGAGCGUUGUCCGGAAUUAUUGGGCGUAAAGGGCUCGUAGGCGGUCUGUUGCGUCAGGAGUGAAAACUCGGGGCUUAACCCCGAGCCUGCUUCUGAUACGGGCAGACUAGAGGUAUGCAGGGGAGAACGGAAUUCCUGGUGUAGCGGUGAAAUGCGCAGAUAUCAGGAGGAACACCGGUGGCGAAGGCGGAUCUCUGGGCCUUACCUGACGCUGAGGCGCGAAAGCUAGGGGAGCAAACAGG
rnacentral:rRNA from 1 species